CACGCUAGUAUACUGUAGUAGAAAAUUUCAAUUUUUCCCAGUAUCUUUUUACAAUAUUUAUCCACCAUAUUUAAUAAGUGUCAGACAGACAGACAGUCUAAAAUAAUCAGGCCUGGCCGUUUGAGGCGCGCGAUCGCGCGCGCGCGCCUCCGCACGCGCCUUGACUCCUCGAGACGCGCCUUUUAACGCGCGCCUCGUUUGUUUUAAGAGUACGAAAUCGCGCGUCUGGUUUUUUUAUUCUAAAUGAAUUUUUGCCAGAAUAAAUCCUGGCCAUUUAGACUAGUUAUAAAAGAAUGACUGAUUUAAUGCUGAUAAAAUGAAAUGAUAACUGCAUGCUGGUCGGCGAAGGAGCAUAAGGAGAAUCUUCAACGUGCAUUAGAAUUUCACAAGGAGAAAAAGACGCAAAGUCAAACUCGACAGCAACACCGUGGAUGAAGAAAUUCUGUUAAAAAAGUGUAGAAUUGAGAACGAC